rnacentral:lncRNA from 1 species
AAAAACAAAAAGAAAGGUGCUAAGUAAUCUGCUGUUGGUCACUUGUCUUCCAGCCCUCAAUCAGAAGACAAGAAAUCAGUCAUUCAACAGUAAUGACUCCCAGAACUGAUGUUCCAAACUCCAGAAGGGUCUCACUAGUGACAAUUCCAAGAAACUAAAGUUCUCAGGCAUUUGAACUUGAAGUGAUCCAUAAUACCAACAUCCCAGGCUCUCCAGUUUGCAGAUGGGCUGUCAUGGGAGACUUAGCUGUGAUAACCAUAUUAUGAACCAAAGGAGCCUACGUGGGAAACACUUUGGGGACCCCUUCACUUAG